UUGUUUACCUUACGUCCACGUUUAUGUCUGGCAUGAUGUUAUCAGUUCGCAUUGGUUUAAAAUCUACUCUAAAAACGGUAAACAAAGUUUACACCAAGUUCUCGUCUUGUAUAUCGGAUAUCGGUAGAGGUACAUAAAUAUAAACUCGGUCAUCGAUAGAUAUAAUCAAUCCGAAUUCAAGAGCAAAACUAAAUUGAAAAAAAGAAAGAAAGAAAUUCACGAUAAUUUCACAACAAAUCUCUAAUUGGAGUAAAUGAUUUACCUAAAUAAAUAUCUAAUGUACAGUGGGUACCGUCCGUAUAAAACUUAUAAAAUAUACUUUCCGGAAUUUUCCAGCCUCCAUUUAUGUAUUACAUGUACGUUACCAGUGACGUCACUGGAAAGAGAAGUCUGACGUCUGCCAAGUUCUAGGGCCAAGCUAACGAUAUGCAUUCCAGGAUGGUGACUGAAGCUCAUCUUUGUAAACACCUAAAUGCCUAAAAUGAACUUCAAAACAGAUUCUGAAAGUUUAACCAGUAUUAAUCUUAUCUUAAAUAUGGACAAAAAGUAUACACUUGGAACACACACAAAAACAGAUGGGUCCAUGCCAAGCUAAAGAUUAAUGCAGAAGAUAAAAGAGAACUGGAGAAGAAUGAAUUGAUGUUAACAUACUCAACAUUAAAUAUGGCUUAAAUCUUAA